UUCAAAUACCCAGAAGACACUUUCCUCACUCUGUAUGGGUUCCGGAAUUUCCACUGCUCUGGAAUGGCUGCCUGCAAAUCGUUUCGACACUGCCAUGAGCGACGGGAGCUACAACGCAUACAAUGCUGUGUAUUUGGUAGCAUACUCCCUGCAAGAGAUGCUUCUUCAACAAGGUGAAAUGCAACUGAUGGGAAGUGAGGACACUACGGUGUUCUUCCUCUGGCAGAUAAAAUUUUGACCCGGAAAUGAAUCAAGAUCAUUGCUGUGGUUGGAAAAGAUGUUAAUAUUCUAUCUAAUCAUAUUUUCCAUCAAAAGAUGAAAACUUUACCCUUGCAGUUUAAAAGAGAAAUCAUGAAUAUAUAUGAAUAUUAUAUAUCAUAUAUGAAUAUAUAUGAAUAUUUGCAUAUAUAAUUUACUUGUGUACCUAAAUGUGGCAAAUAUUGCAGUGGAUGUUUUAUAUAAAAUUUGCAUUUUAUUCUAUGACCAUUUUGGAUUGAUAACCUCAUUUUGCACAUAAAUGCUGUGGGAACAAUCACAAAAUUCUGAUUAGACAGUGUUGCUACCCAUGCAAAUCGUAUAUUUACAUGGGUUUUGUUUAAAUAUCUUCUCUUCAAGCUGAUAUUUUAGAAACAUUGUGAUAUUUAAUUUAUUCCACUUCAUUUGUUGCCUGUGUGGAGCUUCCACUAUGAAACAAAGAAUAAAGAAAAUUAGAGACUGUCCCACAUUCAGGUUUUGUUUCUUAACAUUGGGAUGCAAUUCAUCAUAGGAUUAUUCAUCCUUUUCAGCUACACCCCUUUCUGAAGGACCUCCAGUUCAACAGUCCCACUGGAGAACAAGUAAACUUAGACAAGGCAAAUAAAAUGGGUACAAAGUAUGAUAUUCUCAACUUGUGGAACUUUCCAGAAGGCGUUAGACUCAGGGUGAAAGUUGGAGGGUUUUCCCCUCAUGCUCCACUUGGUCAGCAGCUGUCUGUGUCUGAGGAGAUGAUAGAGUGGGCUGCAGAAAUUACUGAGGUAACUUGGAUCUGCACAUAACUCAUUCCAUAACUUAUUUCACUAGACAUAAAUAAAUGAAAUUCUUUGUAUUUUGUGCCCCACCUCUGGUCACAAAUGGUCACAAAUGGAAUAACAGUUCACCUUUCAAUGCUAAGCAUUUUCUUAUUUCUCUAAUUUCUGUUGAAUGGGAAUAAAGCUCAUUUACUCAACCAUAUUUUAGUCAAUAUUCAUGUUUUUAUCAUUAAGUAUGGGAUUCAAGUAAAUAUAUGACUUUAUGCAUUUAUAAAAAUUGUUUGUUACUAUGAUUGUGAAAGGUUAAGUAAAAUUUAGAGAAG
rnacentral:lncRNA from 1 species